UGACCUUCUUCCUUAACAAGAGGGUGCUCCCCUUUGGUGAGCACUAACUAUGAAGAGGCAGGGUGCAAACUGUGAUCUCAUGGAAUCCUUCUGGCAGUGGGGUUCCGUCAUAGCAUCUUCAUUUUGCUGUUCAGAAGAACAAGCCUCCCUACAGCCACCUGCUGGAAGUCACACAGGUGGCAGGGUGUUGCCUCGCUCAGUUUUCAAGGGUUACACUCAGCAGAAAAAGCCUGCAUCGGACGCAUGUGUCCUGAGAGCAUUCUGAGACAGUCAUCCAACCAGUGCUCAGUCAACCCACCACUCCAUGACGCCUGUGCUGAGGGAUGCUGAGGACACUAAGGUGACCAAGACAGACUGUGCCCCACCCUCAUGAAGCUGUCAUGCCACAAGGGAGACAGAGCAGCUACAAGUCAGUGAAGCUCAGAACACACAGGGCUGGGGUGAGAAGUCACAGACAGAGGAGUCAUGGUGGUGAUGGGGGAGACAGAGGAGUCAGGGCAAGGUUGGGGGAGACAGACAGAGGGGUCAGGGCAGGAUUGGGUGGCACAGGUGUCUGUAGGGGCCCAGAAGUGGUACCUGUUUCAACCUUGUCAACUCAGGCUGAGUCACCUGAGGGCAAAGUAGGGGGUUUUCAGGGCAGGAUAGGGAGAGUAGGGAGGGAGAAUUCUGGGCAGAGGAAUCCAAGUGCCAAGGCAGUGGAGCAUGGUCGGGUGCUGUUAGGGUGGAAGGAUCUGGGGCCCUGCGCACUGAUGAGGCUGUAGCCAUCAGCAGGGGUCAGACCUGCUGGACCUUAUGUGACUUGGUGGGGAGCUGGACCGUGUCCUAAGAUGAUGGGGAGCCCCAGAAGGGGUGUAGGCAGGGGAAGAAGAUGGUUACAUUUGUGUUUCAGAGGGAUUGUUCAGAUUGUUGGAGAAGCUGAGACUACAGAUGGAGAGACAUAGAAGUAGCUUCUAUAGGCUCCAGGUGACAGAGGACAGGGCCAUGGGCAUGGGGAGGAGGCAUGGGCUGGAGAAAGAUAUGGAAGGACAAACGAAUUCUUCCUUGGUUAUGCGGUGGUUGUGUGGGGUAAGGUGGGGUAGAGCCCAGUGUGGGGGUAGGUGGGAGUGCCAUGUAUGGGUUUGGGGACACAGAUCAGGAGCCGGUUUGAGGCAGGAGACAUGUUGGGGAACCGGGCACAAUCCCUGCUUCUAGGGAUUUCUUAGACUGGUGAGAGAGCAGAUCCGGAUAAACCAAAAUCUUCAAUGAUCCCAUUAGUAUUCAUUAAGAAUUAUUUGUGAUCAUUUACUACUUGGGGUUGAGGAUUGGGAGUGCUUCCUAGAGGCGGUGUCGUUUGAACUGGGUCUUGCAGGAUGAGCUCACAGGUGGGGGAGGAGAGGAGGGCAGGGCAGAGAGAGCCUCACAAGCCAGGCUUGGCCAUGUGAGAUGGUGGGACAGAGCAGACAUCUGUGACCGCUACACCCCCUGCUCCCUCUGCCAUCCUCAUCAAUCAACUUUCUGUCCUCUACCCCCAGCCUGACCCAAACUCCAGAAAAAGCUGGCUCAUGGUCACAAGUGUGCCUGAAAUCUAUGACCCUCUCCCAAAUGAGAUUUUUUGUUUAAUUGAAGUAAAGGGGCACCUUGGCUCUUUCAGUCAGU